rnacentral:rRNA from 1 species
CUAAGAAUAUUCCGCAAUGGGCGAAAGCCUGACGGAGCGACGCCGCGUGGAUGAUGAAGGCCGGAAGGUUGUAAAGUCCUUUUAUGACAGAGGAAUAACCGGGGCAGGGAAUGGCACCGGGGUGACUGUAGGUCAUGAAUAAGCACCGGCUAAUUACGUGCCAGCAGCCGCGGUAACACGUAAGGUGCGAGCGUUGUUCGGAAUUAUUGGGCGUAAAGGGCAUGUAGGCGGACCUGCAAGCUUGGAGUGAAAUCCACGGGCUCAACCCGUGAACUGCUCCGGGAACUGCAGGACUCGAAUCGCUGAGGGGGAGCCGGAAUUCCA